UUAAAGAAACCUAUAUAGUUUGGCGGCACUCCAUCUCAUUAGAGGAACUUGUUUUUUAAUCGACAAUCCACGAUAAUUUUCACUUUAUUUAAAAGUCUAUAUACCGCCAUUUAAAGAAUAAAUUUAAAAAUAAUAUUCCUAAUAACAUUCUAAAAAAUUAGGUCAAGGUGUAAUUUAUAUUAAAGAUAAAAUGAGUUAUUAUAAAUUUUAUUUAAGGAUUAUAAUACAAAAACACAAUAUGAAAAGAGAUUUAAAAGUAAACUUCAAACAAUAUUUCAAAUUGAAUAAAGAAAUAAGUGUGCACACAUCGCCCG
rnacentral:rRNA from 1 species